UUUUUUAUAACCUUAGAGUUGACGAUUACCAUUCUUUUUCCAGCCUCAGAGUUGAGCAUCUACGUUUUUCCCACUUCGGAAUGGAUGUACCGUGUUACCCCCAACCUCAAAGCUGAAUGUUUAUCUUUCCCCAACCUCAGAGCUGAAUAUCUAUCUUUUUUCAACCUCAAAGUUGAACAAUUACCUUUUUCCAACCUCAGAGUUGAUGUACCUUUUC
rnacentral:lncRNA from 1 species